UAGUCGUUGAGAAGAAGUACCAUUUCUGGGGGAAAAAAAUAACUAAAAGGAGGAGGAGAUUACUCUAAAGUUAUCAGACCUUUAAUUCAUCUGAUUUACUACAAUGGUGAAAUGUAACAAGAAAACAGCUAACUAGAAACUAAAUAUUUCAACGGAUGUUGAAAUACUUCAACAAGUAAAUUUUAAACUCCACUGCUAUGGAUCAAUCCAGAGGUGAUUCUCCAGCAACUACUUCAGCCUCAGGUAUUUUGCUGCAACUCCUGAAGAAGUUUCGAAAUAACAGAAAAGGCUGUUGAAGGGUGAUAUUGCAAAUGUGUGUCCAUAUAAAUAGCUGUUAGAGGAAAGAUAGUCUCAGAUUAAAUUUAGUAUCUUAGUAUGGGAUAUGUGUUCAAUAUCUCUCUAUCCUACUUCUCUAGGAUUCUCAUUUAUCCCUAAAGGCCAUAUUAUUACAUUGUAUUAUAUUAUCUUAUGCUAUAUUAUAUAAAUAUUAUUUGUGAAUGAUCACAGUAUAAGAAGCAGAAAGAAUUUACUACCUGUAAUAUUAUAGUGUUUCUCACAUUAAUUAAAAAAAUAAUAAUAGGGUCUUACAGAUGACAAUUUUUAAAGGUUGAUACAUUCUGAGCUACAAAUUUUAAGCCCAGGGGAAGCUGGAUUUUUUUUUUUCCACCCCAUUAGCUACUAAUUGUGCAGGUCAAUAAGCCUGACUCAUCAUUACCCAUGUUUUGCAGAACAUGAAGCCUUUUUCCCAUGCCAUCAUUUAUCAGUAUUAGGACACCGGCCUAGUGGAAAACCCAUACGCUAUUAAGAGUUGUGUCUGGGAUUAUAUUCUUUUGCAAAUCAAUAAUUGGUUUUAAGAUCUGAAGUCACAGAAGCUGCAUACUAUCACCUUAACUUCCUAAAUAACAUAAUGGCACAGUCUAUUAGUGAUACUGGCACUGCUGCAUCAGCAUGCAGUCUUUGCUUCAGUGACUGUAUAAAAAUAUUUUGUCUUUCACUGUACGUCAUGGUUUAAUCUGAGCCAGCACACAGCUCCUCACUCACUCUCCCCCAGUGGGAUGGGGAAGAGAAUCAGAAGAGUAAAAGUGAGAAAACUCAUGGGUUGAGAUGAAGACAGUUUAAUAAGUAAAGCAAAAGCCACAUAUGCAAGCAAAGCAAAACAAGGGUUUCUCAUCCACCACUCCCCACCAGCAGGCAGGUGUUCAGCUAUCUCGAGGAACGUUGGGUUCCAUCAUGCAUAACAGUUACUUGGAAAGAUGAACACCAUCACUGUAAACAUCUCACCCCUUCCUUCUUCUUCCCCCAGGUUUAUAUGCUGAGCAUGACGCCAUAUGGCAUAGAAUAUCCAUUUGGUCAGUUGAGGUCUGCUGCCCUGAUUGUGUCGCCUCCCAACUUCUUAUGCACUCCCAGCUUACUCGCUAGUGGAGUGGUGUCAGAAGCAGAGAAGGCCUUGACUCUGUGUAUACACUGCUCAGCAAGAAUGAGAAAAUUGCUGUAUAUCAACAUCAUUUUAAGCACAAAUCCAAAACAUGGCCCCAUACCAACUAUUAUGAAGAAAAGCUUCUAACUGUAUGGAAAAUUAACUCUGUUUCAGCUAACCCACCACACAGUAGCAAUGCCAUUACAUGUACUUUGGUUCAUAGUUACUAUGGUGGGUAGAGUAUGCUAUUAUUCAGUCUUGGGAUUUGUGACCUUAAGAGAGAUUAUGUAACUUUAACCAGAAACUUAUAUAUAUUUGUAAAGCACCUCAAAAAUCCAUGCAAAUUUGAGUUCAGGGGAUCAGUGAUCUUAUUCUACUUGAUUUUUCUACUUUGUCCUGUUCCUUCCCAGAAAAAAAGUCCCUGAUGGUAACAUCAGUCAAAGCUAUCUCCUCAAAAUGCAUAGGGGAGAAAAGGAGGUAAAGGCCUGUGUUCCUUCUAAAUUAGUGGAUUACAACAAAUAUUUUGGAUUAGAAAACUGGAAAUUGAUUAGGUUGGAGUUUGGACACGUGUUGCUAUUUCAAGCCUGCUGGGAAAGCAGAUACACAAUUUUGUAAAUGUUCAGAGGAAAGUGCUUUGAAAGUAAGGGAAUGAGGGAUAUCUCUUUUAACAUGAGAUAAAUCCCCUUACAGAACUGUACAAAUUUGCCUGUAUCCACCACAACUUAUGCAAUACUUUAUUCUACUGGCCUGAAAGCCAAGAGAUUAGUGAAGGAGGUUCACAUCUAACUUUGCAGUUUAGCUCUAUUAACAUCUAUCCUGGCCUUGGUAAACUGCAGAGAUGUUAGCCAGUUGUUGAACCCUACUCCUUUUCUGAAGUUAAAAAUCAUGUUUCUUUUCCUGUUCUGGCCUUAUCACUUUUCAUAAUUUUAUCUCAAAUCAUAAGAUACCCACUGUUUUGUUUUAACACUGUAGCUGCCACUGCCACAUGGUUACAUAUUAAAGUCACCUUCUGUUUUAAGCCAAAAGUGAGUCUUUGUCAUUCCUGGAUAUGAGUUCAAGCCAGCCUCAAUACAGCAGAGAACCCUAGUUCACUAAAUACCUUUACAUGUUACACUGAUAGUCCUGCAGUUUGUUACUGUUUGUAGUCUAUUUUGUUCUUUUCACAUCCAGUUCCUAUUUACCAGUAACAUACAUCCACCUACUUUAAUCUUCUAUUGCUAUUAAUGAGCAACUGCCAGAGGCACUUCCCAGAAUGCCUGGAGCUUUAAACACUUGGGUUUUUUUGUUUGUUUGUUCAGUUGGUUGGGUUUUGUUUUUUGUUUUUUGUUUGUUUGUUUGUUUUUUGCUUUGUUUUGUUUUGAUUGUUUGUUUGGUUGGUUGGGUUUUUUUUUUGGUAAGUCAUACUACUAAUACAGAGUAAAGAAAAUACAUCUGCUACUCUGUCACAUAUGCUGAGUCUAUACAGAUCUUACAAUGAGAUAUGUAACAGUGAUUACAGGAAAAUUAAACUUUGAUUGUUGUCAAAUAUUUGUCGUACUAGAGAAAAUUCUUACGCAGCCCACAAAACUAAUACACCUGUAUCUAAUAAGUAGUUUUUGCUUCAAUGUGGUAUUAUAUGUAUUUACAUGUAAAUGUUUUAUUCUUCUUGCAUCAGAAGUAUUUGCAGCAUACAGAUUCAUUAAAUGAAACAACAGAAUGUGAACAUAUAUUUAAUGUUUUAACAUCCUGAGCACUGAAGCAGAGCAUAAUGGGUUAAAGUAAUAAACACAUUAGACCUGAAUAAUGUAACUGAUUCCUCAUUCUAAACAAAUUUAUACAGUUCCGUGCUUCAUAAAUCAAUUCCAGCCAUUGUUUUUUUCCAACUUCUAAAUCUAUCCUUAAUUCUAAAUGGUGUUUUCUGUGUUUCCUAUUUUGUAACCUUUCCACAUAAUUUAUUCUCUCUCUAUGCUCAUCUUCUAUAUUACUUGCCCUUUAUAAUUUUCUUAUGUUUGUUUGCUAGUUGAAGUGCUAUUCACACAACAAUCUCACAGACCUCUUGUUUUAAAAUUGUUCAGGAAGAAGUAUUCGAAAAUAAUCAAUAUCUGAAAUUGGGAUGUCAUUGGUUAUCUUUGACUGAAUACAUGAAGCAUGUAGUAUAUUUUGUUCCAGAACUGAAUCAGCAUUACUUUUCUGUUCUGGUAAAAAUAAUUGUAUUUACAAAUGUCUACAAAUAUAUUUCAUUUAAAUGAACUCUUUGAGCGAACAAUCUGCUAGUAAACUUUUUUGUGAUAAUGGUCAGAAACAGGAAUAUGGAAAGUUAAUACUGAAGAUGAAGAGAAUUUUAGUUACAAUUUUGAGCUACUUUUAUAAUUUGCUCCGCUCUAGUUUCAGCUAACGGAAAAAGAUAAGCCUGUGCCUCAGAGUUGUUGCUGAAAUUGUGGGAACUGCCAAGUACAGCAGUCUGUCAGGAAUACAAUGUUUCCCAUUGUCACUUGUUAAAUCAGCUUUCAAGGAUUAUAAAAAUAAAUAUUAUUUCCAAAUAGUAUAUGCAAUAAUCACCAAUACAAAGCUCUGUUCCAAUCUGUGAAAAGAGAUUCUGAAAUAUGUAUCUAUCAUAUCCUGAGGCAAUUCUAUAUUUAGCAUAAUAAAUUUUGUAAGAAUCCAAGGUCAUUAGGAAGAGCCAUUUAAAUAACAUUAAUCCUUGAUUUAAAAGUCAUCAUAGAUAUUUGGAAUCUAACAUAUUGCCAUUCAGCUCUCAAGACUUGGUAUGUUAAAUUCUGACCUGAGCUAUAGGAAAAGUGCAGCUAGUGUACAUACAGCAACAAGAAUAUCUAGAAGUAUCAGUGAAGCAGAGCAAGUUUUCUGUUCUUCAUUAGCACAAAGAAGCUGUUGGAAAGUUUACAAAUGCACAAAUGUGAGAAACCAUGGUCUGUAGAAAAUUAAGUUAGACAGCUGGCAUUGACCAAGUGCCUGAUCCCAGUGACUACAGUGCCAGAUCACUGAGGCAAAAGAGGAUUACUCACAGUGGUGUAUUCCUCAUUAAAUAAAUUCUUAAUGAAUAAGUUUAUUUUGCCAUCAGUUGUCACUACAAUGAGCAGAAAGCUUUGAAAUAAAUUGUGGUAUAGAGGCCCUAAUCCUUUUCAGAGCCUAUAAAGACAUGAAUAUGAGAAUAGCUGAUGUGUUUUUUAAAGGAUAUGUAACAGCAGUCUUAAUGAUUUCUGACAUUACAGUCAUUAUAUCAUUAGAUUCCUUGUCAGAAAAAGAGUAACAACCAAUCAAACAAAAAACUAGUCACAUUUAUUUUAUUCUUAAUCCAGUUCAACUGUUCUUCAUUAAAAGCAGUUGAAAGACUGGCUAAAAGUAUGUAGGCAACACCUUCAACUGGAGAAGAGUUGUUUAGGACACCAUGUUUCAAAAAAGCUGUGGCCCAAAUGGAGAAAAUCCAGAGAGGAAUAACAAGUAAGGUCAACAAUGUAAAAACUGUGAUUAUGAGGAAAGAAAGAACUGUGGCUGUUUAGUGUGAAGAAGAGUAUACAGGAGAAUGUAACAACAGUCUUUGAAUACAAAAAAAUAUUACUGCAAACAAGAAGAAGAAUGGAAAAAUCUGUUCACAUCUCAGCUGGGAAUACAACUAUAAAUAAUGGGAUUAAAGCAAUUGAAUUUAGACAUUACCCAAAAUAUGAAACAUUACCAGAAAAAAAAAAAAAAAAAAAAAAAAGAAAAAAAGCUCUGGAAGUGAUUACCUGGGGAGGUUCUGGAUUACACAUUAUUAUAGGUUUUUGCAAACAGGUUUGGUGAAAAGCAGUAAGGAAUAACAACUGUAGAGGGAGAGGACAACUCUGCCAAUGGACAAUAUACUUCAGACAGUAAUCUAUCCCCGUAGAAGUCUUUUGGACCAUUUGUGAAAGAAAUCUUUCUCUUAGCAUCAGUUUCUCAUUUUGCUUUAGGUAUACAGUGAUUUUAACAAAUUAAGUUUAUGCCUGUGUGAACAAAUCAAGACUAAUGGGUUGCAACUGUUCAUUAUCAUUUAAAUGGAAGUGGUGCUUACCAAAACUUGCACAAGCAUAUUUUUGUAAAGGACUAAGAUGGGUACUGAUUGAAAAGACACAACCAAACAGAACAUCUGAUUGAGGGUGGCACCACCAGUUACAGCAAUCUGCUUUUAUUAAUUGCCCUGGCAAUUCCUGUCCACAGGGAACCCAGUGCUACAUGGAACUGUCUUCCUUCAGUUUUGUGCUAAUUAGGUGCUGUUAUCUGCCUCACACUUACCCUGAGCUAAAAUAUAGUGAUGGUCACUGUCCCAUCAUCAGCUCUUUCACACCACUUUCAAGGUGAGUUUCAUGAUAAAUGAUGCCAAUGUGUUAUACUGACAGGACAGAAUAAAUAUUACUUUUUUCGUUUGUGUUCUGUUAGCAGGAUAUUCGGUCAUGGACCAGGAUCCUAUUAUACCAGACACUGUACAAUCUGCAGUACAGAAAUGGUUGAUAGCCGUAAUCACUUUUUUCUUCUUUUUAACAUGAUCUGCUGAAUACUCUUGUUUUGAUAAGAAUUAAAAAUCCUUCACAGCUAGAGUGAGGUGUAGAGGAAUUUGCUGGUAGUUGGAAGCUCAUUUUCAUUACUACUUUAUGGGACUAGGAUAUGUAUAGAGAUAGAAUUAUAUUCUGCAUUCUGCUGGAAAUAUUUUGCAGUAUUCUAUGGGAAACUGUGUUGAGAUGCAGACAUUUCAAGGACUUCUGCUUUGAUGACUACUCAUAAGGAGUAAAGUCUGCAUAGACAGUUUUUAGGUCUCAUAUGACUUUAGAUGUCUAAAACCAUGUUGUAUAACCCCACACUGUUCAAUUUGUUUCCUUCAAAUUCAUUGCCCUGAAAUAGUCGCUUAAAGAGGAAAAUCCACCCUGUCCUAACAAAACUGACUAAGUUAGUGUGCCUACAGAAAUUACUGUGUAUCUCUUGAAUUUAGGUAACAAAAUCUUAAGAUGUCUUAAAUUGUGUACUGCCCUCCCUCCGUGCUGUAUCCUCUGCCUCUUUCAGGCACCUCCCCAUCUACUGUUCACCCAAGUGACUUUCUUGAAUCCUAACAUACAUAUCUUAAAAGGUGAAAUGAGUGGAAUGACACAAGUUGAACAACAACAACGUCUAUAUGAAAUUGAUUCUAUGUUUUUCGUCAGAGGAAUGUUUUUACCAUUCACUGCUGUAGCAUAAACUACCUGGUGGGGUGCUCACAUGAUGCACACUUGGGGUGGCUGUGAUAACCCCAGCUGUUAGGGUAGGACCAUGUGUGUGCAUCAGGGUGUGAGCGUGUCAUGUGCACAAGUCUGGAGGGAGGGUGUUUGCCUGAAAACCGACCUUGUUAAAGAGAGAAAUUCUGUUGAAUGGAAUAACAGAAAUAGGAAUACGGAAGGAGCCAGCCUGAAAAGCGGCACAGAGGCAGAAUGAAGAAUUGUCAAGUAGAGGGGACCUUGAAGGGGGACCAGCAGCAGCACCCCCUGGCCGGUCGCUGCCUCCAACAUCCCUGCCGCGCCCCGUCUCGACCGCCCUGGUCCGGGCAGCGCAGCCCGGCGGGCGCCGACAGCGGCCCCCGCCCCGGCAGGGGCCGGGCACCCGCGGGGACCCACUCCGGGGGAGAGGCGGUGCUUCUGGCCGUGAGCAGGGGGAGAUUGGGAUACCUGGGGGGUGCCGGAGGCGGGGCAUGUUCCUCAGGACUAGUCCCGGCGCCUGGGAAAUACAUAGCUGUUUAUUAGUGCUCUGUGUCUGAUAUCAUGAUUUAUUUGUGGUAUUACCAAUAUUGAUCCUGAGCGUAUAGUUCACUGAGGGUUAAUUACAUGUCAUUAAUAAAUUAAUAAAGUGUUUCGAUUCUGAUUCUGGCCUAAACUGUGUGAACUGACUAGCUUUUUCCUGGUGACUGUAUUUCCCAGGGAUGCAUGCUUAGCAACCUGUUACAAUUAGUGGAUUACUUGUACACAGUUCAAAUAAUAAAGGCAAACACUAUUGAUACCUAGCAGGAAUGGUGAGAACAUUAACUGUUUUAAAUUUUAUAUUGAAGUAAUGAGAAGCCUCACAAAGAAGCCUGAAAGACUUGGGAUUACUGAAGGAUUUUACUUCCACAUUUCUCUCAUCUGUAUUCACAAGACUAUUAGACUUAGUAUUUUUUAAUUAAUAUGUCAU